rnacentral:rRNA from 1 species
CUGGCGGCGUGCUUAACACAUGCAAGUCGAACGGUGAAGCGCCUUCCUUUUUGGUGGGUGUGGAUGAGUGGCGAACGGGUGAGUAACACGUGAGUAACCUGCCCCCUUCUUCUGGAUAACCGCAUGAAAGUGUGGCUAAUACGGGAUAUUCUGGGUCUGUCGCAUGAUGGGUCUGGGAAAGAUAUUGUUUCGGUGGGGGAUGGGCUCGCGGCCUAUCAGCUUGUUGGUGGGGUGAUGGCCUACCAAGGCGGUGACGGGUAGCCGGCCUGAGAGGGUGGACGGUCACACUGGGACUGAGACACGGCCCAGACUCCUACGGGAGGCAGCAGUGGGGAAUAUUGCACAAUGGGCGCAAGCCUGAUGCAGCGACGCCGCGUGAGGGAUGGAGGCCUUCGGGUUGUGAACCUCUUUCGCCAGUGAAGCAGGCCUGCCUCGUUUGUGGGUGGGUUGACGGUAGCUGGAUAAGAAGCGCCGGCUAACUACGUG